rnacentral:rRNA from 1 species
UACGUAGGGUGCAAGCGUUAAUCGGAAUUACUGGGCGUAAAGCGUGCGCAGGCGGUUUUGUAAGUCUGUCGUGAAAUCCCUGGGCUCAACCUAGGAAUUGCGAUGGAGACUGCAAGGCUAGAAUCUGGCAGAGGGGGGUAGAAUUCCACGUGUAGCAGUGAAAUGCGUAGAGAUGUGGAGGAACACCGAUGGCGAAGGCAGCCCCCUGGGUCAAGAUUGACGCUCAUGCACGAAAGGCGUGGGGAGCAAACAGG